CCUCAGAAUUUGAGGUAUUCUGUCAGAAUUUCGAGAUUUCCCCCUCAGAAUUUUGGGGUUUUUCCCUCAGAAUUUGGGGGAUUUCUGUCAGAAUUUGGUGUUUCCCCUCAGAAUUCUGGGGAUUUUUAUCAGAAUUUGAGGUGUUUUUGUCAGAAUUUGGAGUUUUUUCCUCAGAAUUCGUUUUUUUCCCCUCAGAAUUUGAGGUAUUUUUGUCAGAAUUUGGUGUUUUCCCCUCAGAAUUCGGUUUUUUCCCUCAGAUUUUGAGGUAUUUCUGUCAGAAUCGGGAGUUUUCCCUCAGAAUUUGGGUAUUUUUCUCAUAAUUUUGGAGUUUUCCCUCAGAAUUCGGGUUUUUUUCCCUCAGAAUUAGGUAUUUCUGUCAGAAUUUGGGUUUUUUCCCUCAGAUUUUGAGGUAUUUCCGUCAGAAUUUGGGUUUUUCCCUCAGAUUUUGAGGUAUUUCUGUCAGAAUUUGGGUUUUCCCCUCAGAAUUUAGAGUUUUCCCCUCAGAAUUCGGGUUUUUCCCCAGAUUUGAGGUAUUUUCUCAUAAUUUGGAGUUUUCCCCUCAGAAUUUUGGGUAUUUUUCUCAUAAUUUGGAGUUUUCCCCUCAGAAUUUUGAGGUAUUUUUCUCAUAAUUUGGAGUUUUCCCCUCAGAAUUUUGAGGAUUUUUCAUAA